CAGCCAUAUAAUGAACUUUACUUAAAAUGAAACAAACCUGCUUUAUAAUCAUUCAUCCAUGUGCAGCAUGACCACGUGCUGUCAAUUUUAUGCUUUAUAUUUUGUUCAUAUUUUGAUAACCUGAUAAUGUACAUUACAGUAAAUAGACUCACAGACGAGAUUACAACAUUUCCAAGAUUGCUCUUUUUAUUGCCUUGUAAUCAUAUAAUUGCUGUUUACGGACAGGAACUGUGCGAUUUAUUGCUCAAGUGACCUACAUCAUGAAUACAAGACAAAUAAAUGCUACAAAAAUAUAUUUCAACAUGAUUUUUGUCUCUUCUGUUUGUUUCAGCUGGAUUUGACUGUCCCGCCUGCUCAAAGUUUGUCUGUUCAGAUGAAAUAGAAGAUCAUUUGAUCAUGUGUUUCUCCAAACCCAGACUCAAUUAUAACGAUGAUGUUUUGUCCCGGGACUCUGGCGAGUGUUCGAUAUGUCUGGAUGGCAUGGUUCAGGGGGACACCAUCGCUCGACUGCCCUGUCUCUGUGUCUACCACAAAGGGUGUAUUGAUGAAUGGUUUGAAGUCAACAGGUCAUGUCCAGAACAUCCCACAGAUUAA